AACGCACAUUGCGCUCUCUGGCAUUCCGGAGAGCAUGCCUGUUUGAGAAUCAGUAAAUUCAUCAUCUCUAGGUUCUGGGAAAUCUUUCCCGGACCCUGGAGUUUGGAUUUGGGCCUUUUGCAACCUAGGUUGCAAUAGCCUGGAAUUGAAUGUUACGCUCGGUCGGACUGGAAGGUCUUGGGCAAACGCAUGAAUGAGGCAACUCAGCAGUACGUGAGCCUUUGAGAACUUCUCAAUUCAAUCGACGGGUAACUCCCUUGAUGAACCAGAGUUUGCUUGCAUUAGCUGGCUUAUUCUGAACACUUGGUCUCAAAUCAGGUAGGAAAACCCGCUGAACUUAA
rnacentral:misc_RNA from 1 species